UCUAGAAAUUAAUCAGAAUGACAGAAUAUAGAUAUUCAUCUACUAACGUCACCAAGAUGAACAACCAGUUUUCAUUAACCAAGCUGAUGUGUGAUGGAAUGGAAUUUAUUUGUAGCUUUGGAAAUAUUGUUGUUUUACAUUCAUGCCAAUAAAGCUGAAUUGAAUUGAAGGGAAGCUCUGACAGCAAUGGUCAGCUAUGAGGCGUCGCAGCAACUGUCUUCACACACAUGUAGCAAAAGUUGUUGUCGGGUUCAAACUACACGGUCUUUUUGUCUGUUAAGAUGGUCAAUGUCCGAGUAGGCUAUUAUAGAGCCAGAAAUUCUGGUACUGGACCAAUCAUAGCUUGGGAAGGAGGCGCUGGUGGCAGACCUCCAGGAACAUGAAUGUAAACAAACAAUGGCGUCUGAAGCGGGGUGCAUGAUACUGGCCGUCUUGAGUUUGGAAAAGCAAGAAAAAAAAUUAUCAACACCAUUCCUCUUUGGCUUCGCCGUAUUUACAGUUAGAAGAGCGCUCUGUGCUCCUAUUGGCCAAUGAGUGGUCACAAAGACAGGUGGACGCGUGAUCAUCAUUUACAAGGACAACCGCAAAGCAUCUGUUACUACAUCUAAAUCAGCAGCAUUAAUAAAAUAAAAUAUGCCGGCUAAACUACAUUAGAAAUGUGGCCGCUGAAGCAAAGACCUCAGCUUCUCAAACCUUUCCAGUGGCCAUGGAAACCACGACAGAGCAGUGCCUGAGCCGCAGCACGACUAGAAUGCAAUGCAGCCGCAUCCUGUGUACAUUUGGCAGAUGUGGCUGGGACAGAGCUAGCAAAUGUGUCUAUACCUGCCCCAGGACAACAACAGGGUCAAUCACACCUUCUAAAUUAGCCUAGGUUACAGCAGAUAAGGAACUGAGCACUCCAAACUGGCAGAAACUGCAUAAGUAAAUGAAAAAGUAAGUCAAAAUAAAUUUAAAAAAUACACAAGUGUAUGAUUAAGAUUUAAAUCUACUGAUGUAGAAUAAUGUAUUACAGACCAAUUAAAAUCUGAGGUCGCCUCAGUGCUUUUAACCAGAUGCCUAAAAAUUUAAAUCAAGCAUCAUAAGCAACAACACAGAAACAAGAGAACAUAGGAGCAAUGUUAGCAUGUUUUAAUGCAAACUCAACACUUCCUGUAGUUGAUUUUCACAGGGAAUGCUUUCCUAUGAAGGGAACAGUUUAUGCCAUACACUGUAUGGCUUUUAGUGCCAAGUAGCCACUAACCACUUUCAUCAGUUUCACAACAUGAUGUGGAUAGGCGAACAGCAGCAGGAACUUACUGCACACAUAAGGGGACACAAUGCUGUGUUGCUGGUAUUAGAAAAUGAGGAUGGGUCAGCAGUGGGAGACAGUCACGACAGUGAAGUCAACAAAGGAAAAAACAAUACGACCACACACAUUAGUGAACAUCAUUUCUGUGAUGCAGGUCAAUAUUGGGAAACACCAACAAGCCAAAACAAUGUUGAACACGCUGCACCUUCCUCAGCAGGUUUACUGUGAUAUUCUUCGGUUACUCUGACUCAUCUUAAGGCAACAGCUCACAUGUUUGUGUGUGGUUUCCUUCCACAAUGACCUGGGUUAAUACCAAAUGUCAUAAAUUGCCAUAAUGCAAUGUGUGCGUUGUUGUGGGCACAUUUCAAAGCUAAGACACAACUUCAUCGGCUCAUUAAUGAAGUCUGUUAGCAGACUGCUAAAUGUUGCUCUAACAUAACGGUCAGACGGAUUUCAGAAACUCUGCCGAGAUAGGUGGAUUGUAACUGUUUGGAGAAGCCAUACGUCAUUCAAAAAGCAAUAACAAUCAAUAUCCAAGCACAAAAAGAUAGCUUGUAUUGUAAGAUGAUGCAUUACUCUUCCUGUAAAUUUCGUAAAAGACCGAUUGAGGGUGCGGUUUCAUUUAUCAAUGUGUCAACUUUCAGAAACGGUUCAGUGUUCAGUCAUGCUGUAACUUAGUUCCCCUAUAAAGGACCUUCCAAUGUCCUAUUUGAUGAUGGUCAAGUUAAUAGUAAACAGGCACAGUUUGGAGCGUGUGAUGCUCUCUCCAUACAGUAACUACAGAGUGACAUGUUUCAGUGCUAACAGCAGCAAUGAGGAAAACACUCGGACAACGUCAAACCAUUUUGUACGUUACGCGUGAAUUCACAUUUAGAAAGGAAAACAUUCCACCAUUUCUGGCCCCACUGCGCUGUGUCCUUCAGUCCCACCGCUUAGACAAACAAAAAUCACAUGGGCGUUUCUUCGACGCUUAACCAGCUUUGUCGAACACAGAAAAGUGCCCCUCCAAUCGGUUCAGCUGCAGCUAGCUUGGCAACCAACUUCUCUUUCAGUACUCUUUACACACUUAGGUAGGUGACCAAUGCAGAGUUCAAAACAAGCCAGCUUCCAUAUUUUAAAAACAGAGAGGGUUUACAGUAGACUUACCUUUUAUAACAUUACUAAAAAUCGUGGCUUUGAAUUCUUCUUUGGCCUUCUGAUCGAAGUCCUGCCCAUGGAUAAUGCGCAUCUGCUUGAGAAAAGUGGACUUGCCGCUCUCGCCUGCUCCAAAUUUCCGCAACUGUUCUACCUCGCCGCUUGUGAGGAGACAAUUGGGGAAACAUACAGAUAAGAAGGAGCGGGACGGCAGGAAAUCCGCCAUCUUUGAAACAACUUCAUCGAUACAGACAGCGAGGAGGGCUGAGCUCACCCAAGUCCGCUGUUGCAUUCAAGUGUCGUAGGAAACCAACUGAAUGUAACUUCCACCUCAACUGUCAAGGGAGCAGUUUAACCAUUUGAUAUCCAGUCUGUACUGAAAUGAAGCAGGACAUUCAGAUUUGCCAAAAAUAAUGUGGUUCACUGGCAAAUGCUGCGUUGGACAUUUGUUUUACGCAAAACAACAUUGGUUUCUUAAAUAAAUUGAAUUGUGGCGACACUCAUACAGAAAUAAUGUGAAAUAACAAAGUGCCUUCAAGCAAAUGAAGUGACAAAAUACGGUGUGGUUUAUUUAUAAACCCAUUAAAGAAACUAUCAAAAAAUCACGUGGGCUUAGUAUAUCAAAAGUCUACGGAAAGCUUUAGUCGAAUGAUGUUGAAAUGAGCCUCUUUUUGUCUGUCACAUGCUUGAUUAUAAUGGCGUAGCCUAUUUUACCUGCUCCAAAAUAAAAAGAUAGUCUUUCCAAC